UAAGACGUAGGGGGCGAGCGUUGUCCGGAGUUACUGGGCGUAAAGGGCGCGCAGGCGGUUGCAUUGGCCAUUACGUGAAAGCCCCCGGCUUAACCGGGUGGAUGCGGGUGGGACCAUGCGGCUGGAGGAUGGUAGGGGCCAGUGGAAUUCCCGGUGUAGUGGUGAAAUGCGUAGAUACCGGGAGGAACACCCGCAGCGAAGGCGGCUGGCUGGGCCAUUCCUGACGCUGAGGCGCGAAGGCCAGGGGAGCGAACGGGAUUAGAUACCCCGGUAGUCCUGGCAGUAAACGAUGUCGACUGGGUGUGGGGAGGGCUCGACUCUUCCCGUGCCGGAGCUAACGCGGUAAGUCGACCGCCUGGGGAGUACGGCCGCAAGGCUA
rnacentral:rRNA from 1 species